GCCGGGCCGUGAGGCGCGGGGCUGGCCGCCCCCGGGGAGCGGGGCCGCCUGAGGGCCGGGCGGCCCGGGGGGAGGGGAGGGGCCCCGGCCGCCCUUAUCCGCCCGCGCAGGCCGGGCUGGGGCCGCGGAUAGGGGCGGCGGGGACCGGCGGUGACUCAGCCCCGUUUCCUUCCCCUCAUCUAGGGCAGGGGUGCUCCGGCGUUUCCCCGUCGCCGCCACACCUCCGGCGGAAAGCUGAGGAACCCCCGCGGCUCUCCUCAGGAGGGGCGUUAAUUGGGUUAAUUAGCCCCCCCCCCCCCCACAUACACACACCCGUUAACCCCUCGGGACCUGCUACUCGGUGCUGCCGCUUCGAAAAAGGGAGAAUAAAGUCUCGGGUGAAGCAAGCACAGGUCAGUGUGCUUCCCUUUGCUGAAGGGGGGAAGUGAGAGCAGAAGGCGAGCAAUCAAGGCUGUUACAAGAAAAGAGCAGAACCUGAACGAGAAUCCACAUCUCAGCACCCCGUACCUGCUCCUGGAGCAUAUCCUGUAUUCAUGGAGACUGGCCAGGCUGGUGGUGGGUCCGUUCUGUGCCUGGAACUGUACAGGAGGUGGUCCAUCUGUCCACUGAAAGAUAACAAACAGCAUGAAAAUCCUACAGCCUCUACCCGGGGAGAGGAGGAAUGGCAGCGAUGCCAGAGGAAGGAGCUCGCCAUACAGACAUUCACUACCUCGAGAUAAUUAAAGAUUUCAGGACAAGAAGUUGAGGGUCAGGUUUGACUUUGUUUCGCACACGUGGAGUUCCCUGGGCUGGUAUUUCUUUUGAACUGCAGCCACUCCACAUGCCCGUCAUUCCAAACCUAGCUGACUGCCAGGAGGAAUCCAGGGUGAAUGGCAAUCAAGUGAAAGCAUUUCCUGCUCUUACAGGUGAAGUCUGACAGUCCCAACAGGGGAAACCGUGACUUGCACAAAGCACCUAAAUUUGGAUGCGUCUGUGAGCCAGAACUACAUUGCAGCCACAGAGUAUCCAGAGUGAGCAAAGCCUCUGGUUCUCACCUACUUCAUCAAUAAAAUAUUUUCCUCUUGGAUUUACCAAAAUCUUCUGAAAUGGGCAGAUUUAAUGUUUGUUUUUAAACCUUCUUCCCCCUCCAUAUAUUUAAUCUAGCGUGGGUUAUGCAUUACCAGCAAUGGCAAGCAAAGACUGGCGAGGCUGGAGCCUCCAGUCUCUGUGCCUGGCCCCCAGGCAUCUGGCCGUGGCCAUUUCCCAACAUGGGCCACACCACAAAAAAACAUGGGUCUCAGGAUCCCUUUGUGACCAAAGCCAGCAAUUUGCUUCUUCCUCUUGGCCUCCUUUUCCCCCUUUCCUCUCCCCAAAAGUAAAUGUUGGGAAAAAGAUGUCAAAUUUCCUUGCACCUUGACUUCACAUUUGGCCAUUAUUUCACUCUAAAACAGUGAGUUAUCUCAGACCCUUGCUGGAUUCCAGCAUAGAAAAGCCUUCAGCAUUUUUUAAACAAUGUUGAAAGUUUCUGACAGGAAGAACAUCGAUAUUUGAGGUCCACAAAAAGUUACAGCUUAAGGUAAUUGCUAUACAGACAUCAAAUAUCAUAUUAACUGGAAAUUUAGAUUUAUAGAUAAGGAGAACACUCAUAAAAGCUGAAAUAUCAAUAAAAACUGUACUUCUGGCAGUGUACAAUAAAGCAUUCCCCAUAACAAGGUUGAUUGGGUGAUCUGAACAAUAAAAUUAAACCCAACUACA